AAGCAGGGGAUCGUAAGACCUUGCGCUUUUGGAGUGGCCGAUGCCUGAUUAGCUAGUUGGUGGGGUAAGGGCCUACCAAGGCAACGAUCAGUAGCUGGUCUGAGAGGACGACCAGCCACACUGGGACUGAGACACGGCCCAGACUCCUACGGGAGGCAGCAGUGGGGAAUUUUGGACAAUGGGCGAAAGCCUGAUCCAGCAAUGCCGCGUGAGUGAAGAAGGCCUUCGGGUUGUAAAGCUCUUUCAGUCGAGAAGAAAAGGUUGUGACUAAUAAUCACAACUUAUGACGGUACCGACAGAAGAAGCACCGGCUAACUACGUGCCAGCAGCCGCGGUAAUACGUAGGGUGCGAGCGUUAAUCGGAAUUACUGGGCGUAAAGGGUGCGCAGGCGGCUUUGUAAGUCAGAUGUGAAAUCCCCGGGCUUAACCUGGGAAUUGCGUUUGAAACUACAAAGCUUAGA
rnacentral:rRNA from 1 species